rnacentral:lncRNA from 1 species
AAUUCAAAACUUAACACCUUGGGAACACCACAUACAGUGUACCAAUCGCAAGUAAGUUAAAAAUAUAACCUAUACGUAUAAAAUAAAAUGAUGUUAAUAUGAAUGCAUGGGUAAGUAUUGACAUAAAUUAAAGCCAGAUCAACCAAUUCUAGAAUUAAAAACAGAUGAUUUAAAUAGAUGAAAACAGUUAACAAGCAGAAAAAGAAUUCAGAAUAGUAUGGGCUUUAUAAUCUAUGUGAUAUUGGACGUUACUAAAUUACUUUAAUCAAACAAGUUUUUACCUGCUUGUGCAAACGAAAAGUUUAAAAAAAUAUCAAAGAAACUAACCUUAUACUUUUUAACUCGUCUGCAUGUAAAUAAUUGGUGACGUUUGAGUUGAUACUAAAAUACGGUACCACUAUUACUGCACAGAUGGGUUUUUUUUUCAGAAAUUAAACAAAUGUUUCUCUGCUUGUUCAAACAAAAAAAUAAAAUAACAAUAUCAUCUGAUAUGACAAUCUAUGCCUUUAAUUU